GGGUGAGGGAGAGAGAGAGAGAGAGGAGGAGGUCUGGUGGGGUGAGAGAGAGAGAGGAGGAGGUUUCUGCAAAAAAGCAACUUCAUGUAUUAUUUAGGACUAUGAUGUUGAGGCUUGCAGUUUGAGUCUGUGUGCUCCUGUGUGUGAGGGUUGUUUGUAGAGCCAGUGCCCAGCAGGCAGAGAGAGGCAGGGUAGAGCAAGCUGGGUGAUGGAAUAGAGAGAAUUAGAGUAGAGAUGGGUGAUGGAACAGAGAGAGUUAGAGUAGAGCUGGGUGAUGGAACAGAGAGAAUUAGAGUAGAGCUGGGUGAUGGAACAGAGAGAAUUAGAGUAGAGCUGGGUGAUGGAACAGAGAGAGGUAGAGUAGAGCUGGGUGAUGGAACAGAGAGAAGUAGAGUAGAGCUGGGUGAUGGAACAGAGAGAGUUAGAGUAGAGCUGGGUGAUGGAAUAGAGAGAAUUAGAGUAGAGCUGGGUGAUGGAACAGAGAGAGGUAGAGUAGAGCUGGGUGAUGGAACAGAGAGAGGUAGAGUAGAGCUGGGUGAUGGAACAGAGAGAGGUAGAGUAGAGCUGGGUGAUGGAACAGAGAGAGGUAGAGUAGAGCUGGGUGAUGGAACAGAGAGAGGUAGAGUAGAGCUGGGUGAUGGAAUAGAGAGAAUUAGAGUAGAGCUGGGUGAUGGAACAGAGAGAGGUAGAGUAGAGCUGGGUGAUGGAACAGAGAGAGGUAGAGUAGAGCUGGGUGAUGGAACAGAGAGAGUUAGAGUAGAGCUGGGUGAUGGAAUAGAGAGAAUUAGAGUAGAGCUGGGUGAUGGAACAGAGAGAGGUAGAGUAGAGCUGGGUGAUGGAACAGAGAGAAUUAGAGUAGAGCUGGGUGAUGGAAUAGAGAGAAUUAGAGUAGAGCUGGGUGAUGGAACAGAGAGAGGUAGAGUAGAGCUGGGUGAUGGAACAGAGAGAGUUAGAGUAGAGCUGGGUGAUGGAACAGAGAGAGGUAGAGUAGAGCUGGGUGAUGGAACAGAGAGAAGUAGAGUAGAGCUGGGUGAUGGAACAGAGAGAAGUAGAGUAGAGCUGGGUGAUGAACAGAGAGAGGUAGAGUAUAGCUGGGUGAUGGAACAGAGAGAGGUAGAGUAGAGCUGGGUGAUGGAACAGAGAGAAGUAGAGUAGAGCUGGGUGAUGAACAGAGAGAGGUAGAGUAUAGCUGGGUGAUGGAACAGAGAGAAUUAGAGUAGAGCUGGGUGAUGGAACAGAGAGAAGUAGAGUAGAGCUGGGUGAUGGAACAGAGAGAGGUAGAGUAGAGCUGGGUGAUGAACAGAGAGAGGUAGAGUAGAGCUGGGUGAUGAACAGAGAGAGGUAGAGUAGAGCUGGGUGAUGACCAGUGAGAGGUAGAGUAUAGCUGGGUGAUGGAACAGAGAGAGGUAGAGUAUAGCUGGGUGAUGAACAGAGAGAGGUAGAGUAGAGCUGGGUGAUGAACAGAGAGAGGUAGAGUAUAGCUGGGUGAUGAACAGAGAGAGGUAGAGUAUAGCUGGGUGAUGAACAGAGAGAGGUAGAGUAUAGCUGGGUGAUGGAACAGCGAGAAUUAGAGUAGAGCUGGGUGAUGGAACAGAGAGAAGUAGAGUAUAGCUGGGUGAUGGAACAGAGAGAGGUAGAGUAGAGCUGGGUGAUGAACAGAGAGAGGUAGAGUAGAGCUGGGUGAUGAACAGAGAGAGGUAGAGUAUAGCUGGGUGAUGGAACAGAGAGAGGUAGAGUAUAGCUGGGUGAUGGAACAGAGAGAAGGGGAACUUUACCUUCCACACCGCUGAGCAGCAGUCUAUAGUAGCAGGAGAGUGAGACAAAUAGAGCUCAAUUUAUGUCCCCUUUUUCUAUGUUUGGGAGAGGAGGGAGAGGAGAGAGAGAGAGGAGGGAGAGGAGGGAGAGGAGAGAGAGAGAGGAGGGAGAGGAGGGAGAAGUAUAGGAAAAGAGAGGAAGAUGAAGAGGUGAAAAAGAAGGGGAGGAGUGUAAGAACGACGAGAAGGAGGAUGAGGGAGGAGAAGGAUCAGGAGAGACCGAGAGAGAGAAUGAAUGAAGAUGAGGAAGAGAUAGAGGAUGAUGUGAGAGCAAGAGAGAGAGAGAGAGAGACAGUGGGGGGAGAUAGAAAUAGAGAGUAUGAAUGGAUAGAGAGACAUUAGGAAUGGAUAAAGAAAGAAAGAGAGUUGGAAAGGAUAGAGAGAGAAAGAGAACAAGAGAGAGUAGGACUGGAUAAAGAGAGAGAGACGGCGUGGUGUGUGACUACCCCCUUCUUUUCUGUGAUGACUAAUGGUCUGGGCGGCCAAGCGCGAUCUGAUUGGUGGCUCUAAUGAGCACAUUCUGUGCUCCAGCUCCUCUGACCCUUGACCUUUAUUGACCAAACUGACACUUCAUUUUUCACAUACUUCCAAUUAUAUGACCGGCUCCUAAUAUUGGGCACUCCUC